UACGUAGGUGGCAAGCGUUAUCCGGAUUUAUUGGGUGUAAAGGGCGUGUAGGCGGGAGAGCAAGUCAGACGUGAAAUUCCAGGGCUCAACCCUGGAACUGCGUUUGAAACUGUUCUUCUUGAGUGGUGGAGAGGCAGGCGGAAUUCUGUGUGUAGCGGUGAAAUGCGUAGAUAUACGGAGGAACACCAGUGGCGAAGGCGGCCUGCUGGACAUUAACUGACGCUGAGGCGCGAAAGCGUGGGGAGCAAACAGG
rnacentral:rRNA from 1 species